CAGCUGCAGGGGGCCUGUUUUAUAGGGCCCACAGCAAAAACAGGGCAGUGGUGGCCACUGUGACCUCAGCAAGCCUCUGUGAUGGAGUGGCUCACGUGUGGCCAAAGGCAGCUUUGUUGGGAGUGGCCUGGAAGAUUUCCUCACGUGGAAGUAGGAGGAGGGAUGCGGGGGGCUGAGGGUCCCUUUUCUGGGGCUGACUGCCCCAGGUCAUUUGGCUUGACAGAGAGAAAGGCUGCCCCUCAGCCACAGGGGCUGUCCUCCACCUCCCAUCCUGUGCCCUGGCUUUAUUUACUAGAACAAGGAUUUAAAUGCAAACACAGAGCUUGAUGAUGAUACAUAGUCUGGGGAAAAAAGGCAAUGAAAGAUGUGGAACAGACUAAAAUGAACUUCAGAACAGUUCUUUAAAACUGAAGUGAGGGCCAUAUGGAAAGUCACCUUUCUUUGUACCUGUACUUCAGAGUCUAUUUGGGGGGGGGUAUUUAUUUAUUUAUUCAUUAUUAUUAUUAUUAUUAUUAUUAUGAAUUAAUUACUUUAGAAAGGAGUUUAAUUUCACAUUCAUUAUUAGUCCUUUUAAAACAUAAUCCUCAGUACGGACUAGAGAGAGUCUGGGGCAUUCUGCAUUUAGCCGUGCAUUACCCAGGCUGCACAUAUUCCCUAACAUACACUGCCUGUAUGUCUAUACAACAUUGAAAAUGCAUAGAUAACUUUUAAUAGUCAUUCCCAGCUGACCAAUAGAUGGCCAGUCAAUCAUCUUUUGUUUUUUUAUAGAAAAAAGAUUUAUGCUGUACAGGUGAAGAUAUCGCUCACAUGAACCUCAAUGAACCUGUUAGCCUGACAGGAAGGGUGACAUACAGGACCGACUAUCUGGUUGCUAAAAAGAAAAGAAAUGGAGAAGUGAGGAAGGGAUUGGUUUUCUGGAUUGCACUGUUGAAAGUGGAAGAUGUCCACUAUCUGGGGCCCUUCAGUUCUUUGUCUGCAGUCAUGCCUUCUUGCCUCUCAAUUAAAGACCUUCAAGCAGAAGUGCCAUUGGAAUAUCUGUUCCAUAUGCAGACCAAAGAUAAUAUACAGGUACUUCAUGCUUCACAUACUUGGAUGUAUGAUGUAGGAAUAAAACAAACAAAACCAGCAGAGACAGUAAAGGAUCAAUUAAUUUUCAUUUGCAUGGAUUUCAUCUAUAAAAACUAACUUAAAGUGCCAAAUUUUUCUGUCAAACAAGGAAAAGAUUUGCAGUAGCCAUUAAAGUAAGGAUGGGAAAAACAGUUGGACAAACCAGAAUUGCCUCGAAAGACAUUGGAAAUGCAAGCUACUAAACAAUGUAAUUUUCAUUGAUAUCUAUCAGUAUGUGUGAAAAUUUCUCUCAGCUCAGAUACAAAUAUGAUUCUCUAUAUUUUCUCAUAUUUUCUUUCAUUAUUGUUAUUUCAAAAUUGUGCCCUGAAUAUAUAAGAAUGAAAACAGAAAACAUUCCAGAGUGACAGACUGACACCAAGCUGAUGGAAAUGACUGUGGAAGUGUGAUAACUAUGAUAACUCUGAGCUACGGAGCUGGUGAAGCCUGGCUUUCUACAGAUGGACUUCUUGCUGUUUAUAGAGCUACUAACUCCAGAUAAGCUUUUCUUGCUGUUGCAGUGCUCAUACUAGUACUCUCUUAUGUGGCUCUUCAGUGUCUGUAAUAAAAUUCAUACCACACUCUUUUGUUUAUCA
rnacentral:lncRNA from 1 species